CACCUUACUUUCUUUUGUUUAUUUAUAUUCUUUAGUUUUGUGCACACUUUGAGGAGUUGAUUUAGGACAGGUUCAUACUGAAAAAAACCUCAGCUGAUGUUAUCUGUGGGGGCUGGGGAGGGUGUCAGGGACAUUUGGUGGCUGAGGAGAGCGCGUCACUGCUACUGAAUAGCUCCAUUUACCACCAGCCAUGUCUCUGCGUCUCAGGCACUUCUGUGAAAUGUUCUCAGAACCCUGUGGUGACCGCAGUACACCCGGCAGGCCCGGCUAGCACCCGCCGCCCACUGGCAGGGCCCGGCCACCCCGGCUGUUGCCAUUCUUUCGUAGGAUUUUGUUCAUUUUAAUACUUGUCAUUUUUCUAGAAAACAUCUGUUUUUAUAAAACAAACAAGGGGGAAUCAAGUAUUUUAACCACAAAGUAUAAAUACUGGCUCUAAGCGUUCAUCACUUCAUUGACAAACUGAAUGCUGAGGAGGCUGAAGGCGAGGAGGCUUUUGCGGAUGUGGACCUUGAGCUGCGUGUUCGGUAGACGCACAGGCCUCGGGGAGACUCAAGCCAGAUGCCAGCCACGGGGACCACGGCCUUGGCUCAAGAGUGGCAUUUGUGGGAAAAAGGAAAAUUCAAGAAAGACACCCCUCCUACUUCUCUUCCAGCAGCUCGUCUCCUUCUGGAAGGAUGUGGAGAGCGUCCAGGGUAACUAAGUGCUCUGUGUCCACCAGAGUCACGUCUCCCCAGGAGGACUGGGCCGCCUACGCCAGCACCUGCUGCACCCCCAUGUGGUCCGGGGAGCAGUGCCGGUCCCCGCAGGGCAGCUUCUUCAUCAGCCGUCGGAGCUUGCUGGGGAAGCUCUGGUUCAUGUAGCGGUAGAGAAGCGGUGUCACGAAGCUGCUGGAGAAGGCCAGGAGUUUGGAGAAAUCCUUCACAAAGUGCAGUAGCCCCAGGUAGUGUGCGUCCACAGGCUUCCCUCGCGAGACGACGACCGUGUGCCCCAGCAGGACCAGAUAGUGCGGCGUCCAGAGCCCAAACUGCGUGCACACGGUAGCCACCAGAAGCCUGUGUGCCGAGGGCUCCAGCCGUCCCGUGUCCCGGUCCAGGGGCGUGUCCUCCCUGCGGACGCGGGACAGUAGCACCAGCGCGUAGAGGGCGGCCAGAGCUGGCACCACGUAGCCGAUGAACACCAGCGUGGCGUCGGCAGCUUCUGUGUUCUGCAUCUUGGCACACUCCAGCGCGCGGGUGGACACAUGGCUGCAGAUGUAGAAGAGCAGCGAGGAGAAGCUGGUCAGCAUCGCGCCGCCCCACACGAAGCCGCACACGUGCCGCGUGUUGUAUACGCUGGCCAUGUAGGUCCGCGGCAGUGCACGCUCGAUGUAGUGGUCGAGGCUCAGCAGGGCAGUGGAGUACAUGGCCACCAGUGAGGACACAUUGAAGGGGAUCUGCAGUGCCACGUGGACCUCGCCGCCCACGCUCCACAGUGCCCACCGGGAGCUCGGAGGGCCGAGCAGCAUGGCGGGACAGAGGUGGCCACCAGAGCUCCGGUGAGGACCUGCGCGCUGCUGCGCUUCUCUGC
rnacentral:antisense_RNA from 1 species